UGGGGAAUAUUGGACAAUGGGGGAAACCCUGAUCCAGCGACGCCGCGUGUGUGAAGAAGGCCUGCGGGUUGUAAAGCACUUUUAGUGGGGAUGAAAAGCCCGAGGCUAAUAUCCUCGGGUCUUGACCUAACCCAAAGAAAAAGCACCGGCUAACUCUGUGCCAGCAGCCGCGGUAAUACAGAGGGUGCAAGCGUUAAUCGGAAUUACUGGGCGUAAAGCGUGCGUAGACGGUUACGUAAGUCGGGUGUGAAAGCCCCGGGCUCAACCUGGGAAUUGCAUUCGAGACUGCGUAGCUAGGGUGCGGAAGAGGGAAGCGGAAUUUCCGGUGUAGCGGUGAAAUGCGUAGAGAUCGGGAGGAAGGCCGGUGGCGAAGGCGGCGCUCUGGAACAUUUCUGACGCUGAGGCUCGAAAGCGUGGGGAGCAAACAGGAUUAGAUACCC
rnacentral:rRNA from 1 species